rnacentral:rRNA from 1 species
UACGGAGGGUGCAAGCGUUAAUCGGAAUUACUGGGCGUAAAGCGCGCGUAGGCGGCUAAAUCAGUCGGGUGUGAAAGCCCCGGGCUCAACCUGGGAACUGCAUUCGAUACUGUUUAGCUUGAGUAUGGGAGAGGGUAGUGGAAUUCCACGUGUAGCGGUGAAAUGCGUAGAUAUGUGGAGGAACACCCGUGGCGAAGGCGACUGCCUGGCCCAAUACUGACGCUGAGGUGCGAAAGCGUGGGUAGCGAACAGG